AAAAAGGGCGUGUGCCGUGACUGGUACAGGGAAGGGGUGGGUAACUGCUCCCUCUCUGCGGAAUCGAUAGCAAGAGAUUUCGGACGCACAAUUUUUGCAAAUUUGGGCUGCUGAUGACCAAUAGGUCUUGGCGCCCCC